rnacentral:rRNA from 1 species
UACGGAGGGGGCCAGCGUUGCUCGGAAUUAUUGGGCGUAAAGGGCGCGUAGGCGGCUUGGUAAGUUUGAUGUGAAAUCCCAUGGCUCAACCAUGGAACUGCAUCUCAUACUGCCGAGCUAGAGUCUGGGAGAGGGAAGCGGAAUUCCCGGUGUAGCGGUGAAAAUGCGUAGAUAUCGGGAGGAACACCGGUGGCGAAGGCGGCAUCCUGGACCAACACUGACGCUGAGUGAGCGAAAAGCC